rnacentral:rRNA from 1 species
GACGAACGCUGGCGGCGUGCCUAAUACAUGCAAGUCGAGCGCAGGAAGCGCGCGGAACCCUUCGGGGGGAAGCGCGCGGAAUGAGCGGCGGACGGGUGAGUAACACGUAAGGAACCUGCCCCAGGGACUGGGAUAACUCCGAGAAAUCGGAGCUAAUACCGGAUCUGUCACGAGACCGCAUGGUCUCGUGAUGAAAGGCGCUCCGGCGUCACCUUGGGAUGGCCUUGCGGUGCAUUAGCUAGUUGGCGGGGUAACGGCCCACCAAGGCGACGAUGCAUAGCCGACCUGAGAGGGUGAUCGGCCACACUGGGACUGAGACACGGCCCAGACUCCGACGGGAGGCAGCAGUAGGGAAUCUUCCACAAUGGACGAAAGUCUGAUGGAGCAACGCCGCGUGAGUGAUGAAGGUUUUCGGAUCGUAAAACUCUGUUGUAAGGGAAGAACAAGCGUGAGAGGGAAUGCUCACGCCUUGACGGUACCUUGCGAGAAAGCCACGGCUAACUACGUGCCAGCCGCCGCCGUAAAAC